rnacentral:rRNA from 1 species
AGUGAACGCUGGCGGUAGGCCUAACACAUGCAAGUCGAACGGCAGCACAGUAAGAGCUUGCUCUUACGGGUGGCGAGUGGCGGACGGGUGAGGAAUACAUCGGAAUCUACUUUUUCGUGGGGGAUAACGUAGGGAAACUUACGCUAAUACCGCAUACGACCUACGGGUGAAAGCAGGGGAUCUUCGGACCUUGCGCGAUUGAAUGAGCCGAUGUCGGAGUAGCUAGUUGGCGGGGUAAAGGCCCACCAAGGCGACGAUCCGUAGCUGGUCUGAGAGGAUGAUCAGCCACACGGGAGCGUAGACACGGUCCAUGCGCCUACGAGAGGCAGCAGUGGGGAAUAUUGGACAAUGGGCGCAAGCCUGAUCCAGCCAUACCGCGUGGGUGAAGAAGGCCUUCGGGUUGUAAAGCCCUUUUGUGGGGAAAGAAAAGCAGCAGGUUAAUACCCCGCUGUUCUGACGGUACCCAAAGAAUAAGCACCGGCUAACUUCGUG